rnacentral:siRNA from 1 species
CCAACGACAGUUAGUUUGUCGG